rnacentral:tRNA from 1 species
GCGAGCAUAAUUUAGUGGUAGAAUGCAACCUUCCCAAGGUUGAUAUGCGGGUUCGAUUCCCGUUGCUCGCU